CCCGGGGAGGGGGCACCCCCUCCCGCCCUGCGCGCCCGGCUCCGCUCCCUCCGUCUCUCCCCUUGCGCUUUUUCCUUAAUUUUCUUUUAUUUUCCCUCCCCCACCCCCACCUAUUUAUUCUCCAUUUUGUUUUGUUUUGGCGUUUCUUCCUGGUUUGGUUUGUUUUGUUCUUCUUCUUUUUUCCAUUCUUGCCUUCUCUCCCCUCCCCGGACGAACACGAAAUUCUCUGUGCCCGCGGAGGCGGAGGGGAGAGGGCAGGAGGCAGCGGAGCGGUGCGGGGCUCGCAGCCCCCAGCCCCACACCGGGCACUGCCUCCCCUCCCGGGAUGCAGGUUCUGCAUUUGGGAGUUCAAAACAACCCUCCAUCCAGAGCCCUCCAGGAACUGGAAAAUCCAGAUUUGCAGUAUCUCCCAGGGAAAGACGAUUUCCUACGUGCUCCCCCCCCCAGCGUGAGGGUCCUGCUGAAGGUUAAACUCAGCCAGACAUGGAUUUCACCUCCUCUGCCAGCACGGAAUGCUCAUCCCCACACUGUGUCCUGGCCUGCUUCAGCUUCCCUGCCUGAAAACAGGGUAAACCCAUCCACCUCCCCAGGGUACAUUAGGGUGGCUUAAAAUUAACGCUCACAAAUGUAUUUUCAAAUCCCUUCAUGAAAGGCAUGGGAAGCACUGGGUGUUAGCAGAAUAGAUCCUUCACCUUUUAACAGCUGUUAAUUGCCAUUAAAACCAAACCUGCACAGCUUUA